AACGAACGCUGGCGGCAGGCUUAACACAUGCAAGUCGAGCGCCCCGCAAGGGGAGCGGCAGACGGGUGAGUAACGCGUGGGAAUCUACCCAUCUCUACGGAAUAACGCAUGGAAACGUGUGCUAAUACCGUAUACGUCCUUCGGGCGAAAGAUUUAUCGGAGAUGGAUGAGCCCGCGUGGGAUUAGCUGGUUGGUGGGGUAAAGGCAUACGAAGGCGACGAUCCAUAGCUGGGCUGAGAGGAUGAUCAGCCACACUGGGACUGAGACACGGUCCAGACUCCUACGGGAGGCAGCAGUGGGGAAUAUUGGACAAUGGGCGCAAGCAUGAUGCAGCCAUGCCGCGUGAGUGAUGAAGGCCCUAGGGUUGUAAAGCUCUUUCACCGGUGAAGAUAAUGACGGUAACCGGAGAAGAAGCCCCGGCUAACUUCGUGCCAGCAGCCGCGGUAAGAC
rnacentral:rRNA from 1 species